UACGGAGGGGGCUAGCGUUGUUCGGAAUUACUGGGCGUAAAGCGCACGUAGGCGGAUCAGUAAGUUAGAGGUGAAAGCCCAGGGCUCAACCCUGGAACUGCCUUUGAUACUGCUGGUCUGGAGGUCGAGAGAGGUGAGUGGAAUUCCGAGUGUAGAGGUGAAAUUCGUAGAUAUUCGGAGGAACACCAGUGGCGAAGGCGGCUCACUGGCUCGAUACUGACGCUGAGGUGCGAAAGCGUGGGGAGCAAACAGG
rnacentral:rRNA from 1 species